UCGGCAUCUGUCAUUAGGUUGUCCAUAAAUUCCCUUAGGAUACGAACGGAACCAGCUUCCAAGUUAUUUUGUCGGAUGAUAUCAUUUACUAUUCGUUUGGUUCUGUUCGACGGGUUAUCAUUUGUUAGUCUCCUCUUCCAAGGUGGUAUUUGAGGUUUAUGAUUUGAUGAUUGCGCCAUCUCUCCUAUCCUCAAUCCGGUAACAUGACAGACAGCAGCAGCGGCGCAGUAGAUUAAAUCACAUGUGUCCUGAAGAGAUAAACUUUGCGGAAGCCUUGGACGACUUAAGAAGUCAACACCACUAUAUUUCAUACGGUACUCUUCAA